AGCGAACGCUGGCGGCAGGCCUAACACAUGCAAGUCGAACGGCAGCACAGUAAGAGCUUGCUCUUACGGGUGUCGAGUGGCGGACGGGUGAGGAAUACACCGGAAUCUACUUUUUCGUGGGGGCUAACGCAGGGAAACUUCCGCUAAUACCGCAUACGACCUACGGGUGUAAGCAGGCGAUCUUCUGACUUUGUGCGAUUGAAUGAGCCGAUGUCGGAUUAGCUCGUUGGCGGGGUAAAGGCCCAACAAGGCGACGAUCCGUAGCUGGUCCGAGAGCAUGGUCAGCCACACUGGAAGUGAGACAGAGUCCAGACACCGGCGGGAAGCAGCAGUGGAGAAUAUUGGACGAUGGGCGCGAGCCUGAUACAGCCAAACCGCGGAAAGGAAGAAGGAGUUAGGGUUGGUAAGCCAUUUAGGUGGGAGAGAAAAACAGCAGGUUAAUACCGCACGAUAAUGACGGUACCCGAAGAAUAAGCACCGGCUAACUUCGUG
rnacentral:rRNA from 1 species